rnacentral:tRNA from 2 species
GCCCCCAUAGCUCAACGGAUAGAGCAAUUGCCUUCUAAGCAGAAGAUCCAGGUCCGAUUCCUGGUGGGGGCA